UUAGGGAGACGUGUCCCUACUGUCCUAUCUCUGGAAGCCCAGGAGGUGACGCAAGCAGUUGCUCCGGCGAGAGAAUAACAGGAAGCGGGGACGAGAAAAAAACGGACCGGGCUGCAGCCCAAGAGUUCCGGGUCUCUUCGUUCCUCCCACCUUUCCUAACACGCGCCAGAGGGUCCCUCUGAAAAUGGCAAAUAUUGAAGAAAAAGUCAACUGCGUCCUCUGGUUGGCUGAACUCAAAUCAGCAACAGCUGUAAGAAGAAAAUUUGCUUCCCAUUAUAAGAAAGAGGCUCCCCACAGAAAUUUAAUUAACAACUGGAUGAAAAAAUUCAAGGAAACGGGCUCAAUUCAUGACAAGCCCAGAUCUGGGAGACCUCGAGCAAGUGAAGACACUGUGGCUGAAAUUGCAACUGAAGUAUUUAUAGCACAAGAUGGUGGCUAUGUUGAAUUUUAAUAAGAAACUUAUCAGUAUUUUAAAAUUUUAAAUAAUUUUUAAGUGUUAUUUGUUAGUUUGUAGCAUUUAUACUUCUGAAGUUAUUAAAGCUUAGAAUGCACUAAUAGUUUUGGGACAUCUUAUAUUUGUAGUCUGAGGGGCUGGGUUCUAGACAUGGUUCUGCUGCUUUGUACACAUGUAAAUUUAGAUAAGCCAUUUAACUUCUCUGGACUUCAGUUUUCUUAUUAAUAAAAUCCAGGGAUUGAAUUAAAA